AUUAAACUUACAUGGCCGUGGGACAAUGAACCUCAGGUAUUACCCCAGAGAAACAACAUCGCUUCAUUGAGGGGAAUGCAAAAAUGUAGUAAAGGAAAUUGAGAAUGAGAAGCCAAUAAAGUAGGUAAGAAACAAGGUAGAGUGACAUCAUGGAAGCCAAACAAAGCAAGUGUUUCCAGGAUGAAGGCGUGAUCAACUGGGUCAAAUGUAUGGUGACAGAUCAAAUAAGAUGAGGACUAAUCAUUAAUCAUGGAUUUUAGCAACACUGAGUCCCUGUGGACCUUUACAGGAGAAGUUCUGGUGGAGGGCUGAGAGCAAAAGCCUGGUUGAAGUGAGUUUGAAAAGAUGUGAAAUGGCUCAUUUCCAACAAGCUGAUACAAAGACCACAGGAAAGGAAGAAAGGAGAACUACAAACCACUGCUCAAGGAAAUAGGAGAGGACACAAACAAAUGGAAAAAAAAAACA
rnacentral:lncRNA from 10 species